CGCGCGCUGUGCAUUGUGGGUGGCGAGCGGCAGAUUUUGAUUCCCGCUCACGGCCACCGUCAUUGUCGAGCGAAAACUUCUGAAGCGGCGGCUCGCUGGGCCUCCUCUACGUCGACUCAGCCUGAAGGCGGGUGUCUCAGAUUGCCAGCACCAUGUGAUGAGGGCUCCAGGGCAUGCUGCGUGCUCGCCAGGAGGGGCUGGGCAAGAUGGCGUAGUCGCUGGAGCAGCUGCGGGCGCGGCACCGCCGCUCUCACCCUGGCGGAGUGCAGCAACACAGUGGGGCGGCACCAGCGGGACACUCUGGACAACGCAGCCAAGGCUGUUGCCCCGCUCGCCCGAUUCGUUGAGAGGCUUGCCCACCCCCCAGGGCGUUGUCGUGAAGAUACCGCUGGGAGGAAGAAUAUAUCACAAUACUGGAAGAGCUCUUCCACCAGGGUCUCCUCCUCCUGCACCACCAGCUCCUCCACCAGGGUCUCCUCCUCCUGCACCACCAGCUCCUCCACCAGGGUCUCCUCCUCCUGCACCAGCAGCUC